GAGCCAGGAUCAAACUCUCAUUAAAA
rnacentral:rRNA from 1 species